rnacentral:rRNA from 1 species
CCUACGGGAGGCAGCAGUGAGGAAUAUUGGUCAAUGGACGAGAGUCUGAACCAGCCAAGUAGCGUGAAGGAUGACUGCCCCGUGGGUUGUAAACUUCUUUUAUAAAGGAAUAAAACGAGGCACGUGUGCCUUUUUGCAUGUACUUUAUGAAUAAGGAUCGGCUAACUCCGUGCCAGCAGCCGCGGUAAUACGGAGGAUCCGAGCUUUAUCCGGAUUUAUUGGGUUUAAAGGGAGCGUAGAUGGGUUGUUAAGUCAGUUGGGAAAGUUUGCGGCUCAACCGUAAAAUUGCAAUUGAUACUGGCAGUCUUGAGUACAGUAGAGGUAGGCGGAAUUCGUGGUGUAGCGGUGAAAUGCUUAGAUAUCACGAAGAACCCCGAUUGCGAAGGCAGCUUACUAAACUGUGACUGACAUUGAUGCACGAAAGUGUGGGUAUCAAACAGGAUUAGAUACCCCAGUAGUC